GACGAACCGUGCGAACGUUGUUCGGAAUCACUGGGCUUAAAGGGCGCGUAGGCGGAUCACCAAGUCCGGGGUGAAAUCUUUCGGCUUAACCGGAAAACAGCCCUGGAUACUGGUGGUCUCGAGCGAGGUAGGGGCCGUUGGAACUUCCGGUGGAGCGGUGAAAUGCGUUGAUAUCGGAAGGAACGCCGGUGGCGAAAGCGAACGGCUGGACCUCUUCUGACGCUGAGGCGCGAAAGCCAGGGGAG
rnacentral:rRNA from 1 species